rnacentral:siRNA from 1 species
CUCCAAAGGUUUACUACAAGUCCC